rnacentral:rRNA from 1 species
GACGAACGCUGGCGGCGUGCCUAAUACAUGCAAGUUGAGCGCUGAAGGUUGGUACUUGUACCAACUGGAUGAGCAGCGAACGGGUGAGUAACGCGUGGGGAAUCUGCCUUUGAGCGGGGGACAACAUUUGGAAACGAAUGCUAAUACCGCAUAAAAACUUUAAACACAAGUUUUAAGUUUGAAAGAUGCAAUUGCAUCACUCAAAGAUGAUCCCGCGUUGUAUUAGCUAGUUGGGGAGGUAAAGGCUCACCAAGGCGAUGAUACAUAGCCGACCUGAGAGGGUGGACGGCCACAUUGGGACUGAGACACGGCCCAAACUCCUACGGGAGGCAGCAGGAGGGAAUCUUCGGCAAUGGACGAAAGGCUGACCGAGCAACGCCGCGGGAGUGAAGAAGGUUUUCGGAUCGUAAAACUCUGUUGGUAGAGAAGAACGUUGGUGAGAGUGGAAAGCUCAUCAAGUGACGGUAACUACCCAGAAAGGGACGGCUAACUACGUG